AUUUUUAAUUUAUUUUCCAACUAUUCCAAAAUGAUUAUAAUAUACAGAACAAUAUUGGUAUACUAUAUUUAACAAUUUUUUUUUAGUUUUGAUACCUGCUAUUGUAAGUUAUCAUCUGUAUUAUUAAGUAUGCACUUAUAAGUAAACUAAGAUACUUCAAUAUCAUAAGAUUAAUAUCCUAAUCAUAUUAAGAAACAAAAAAAGAUUGUAAUCAUAAUUUUUUAUUACUGUCUAUCAUAAUAAAGUCAUCUAUCGAAUUAACAUAUAGUUCUUGAACAAACUAAAUUAUAGUUUUUGUACAAUUUUGAUGUCUAUUGGUUUUGUAUACACUUGUCUUAACAUACUACAUUAGUAAGCUUUAAUUUCAUAUCAGAUCAACAUUAGAAUGAAUUGUUAUACUACAAAUACAGUAUUGUAGCUAAAUUUCUCAUUUGAAUUUUCAUUGAACAAUAUUAGAUUGCAAAAAAAUAAAUAAAUCUAAUAGUAAUUGUUAAAUUUUUUAAUUAAAAUAGGGCAAUGUAAUAAAGUAAUACAUGUAGUUAUUAUAGUACUAUUUUUAUGAUGUAAUAUUAGAGGGAGUAGUAAGAAAAUAUCUUAAAAUUUAAGAUAUAAGUAAUUGUUAUUUUAUAUGUUACUUUCAAGUAUUUAAAAAAAAAAUAUAGUAAAAUUAUUAUUUUUAUAGAUAAUAUGUUUACUACAGUAGAAUUUUGAUAAGGUUAACAAUAUUGCGUUCCUUGAAAAAGAAAAUUUUACUCAAAAGAAAUAAAUAUUAUAGAUAAUACAAAUAAAUUAUUUGUAGUUGUAUAGCUAAAAGAUUUGAAUGUGGUAGGUUAGACUAGUUAAAGCAAUUAGUUUAAAUUUAAAAGCUGUUAAUUAUUAAAAUAAAUACAUAAAUUCAUUAAAACUUCACAAAUUUUAGUAUUGCCAAUUGGAAUCAAUCUGUUAUAUUUUUAUAAAUAAGUGUUGAAUACAAACUCAAAUUCUUAAAUAAUUUUAAGUCAAAUUUUUUUUUUAAUAGUUCAAAAACCUUAUUAAGUUAAAAAAAUAAUUUCCCUUGAGCCUUAACUUAUCCAGGUUCUACUGUAUUUUAAAAUUGGCAUCAGUGCCGUGCCAAGAAAAGGGCAUAGGAUGAUAUAAGGGUCAUACACUUUGCAAUAUUUAAUUGUUAUAAUUGAUAAUUAUUUAAUAUUAGAGGAUGCUAACAUAUAAUUUAAAAAAAAAUUAUAUAUAUAUAUUUUAUAAAUUAAAAUAAAUAAAUAAUAAAUAAAUUUUUACCUAUUCUCUUUUCAUUGUGUCAGUGCUAGGUUUUACAGUUUUUCUUGUGCUUGAAAGAAAGUAGUUUAGGUGGGAUAAAUUUCUUCCAAUAAAAAUUAUUACAUGAUGAAGAUAUUAUUAUUUUUUUUAAGGGAGAAAUAAUAGUUAUUCAGAACAAAAACUCCAUACUAGACCUAACCUCAAGACCUAUACUAGUGGAGGCAUGAUUGCAAUGCAUUUUAUGAGGGAUCAAGGUUUUUUUUGUGAAACUGGUUUUUUUUCAUUAGGAAUUGUUAAAAUGUCUGUAUGAGGGUUAUCUUAAUACUUAAUUUUCUAUGGCAUUACGCAUAUUCUACAUGAAUUCAUGUAUUACGCAUAUUCUGUCAUGGAAUAAAGUAUAAGGUAUAACUCUCAUACAGGUGUUUCACAAUUCCAAAGUGAAAAAAAUUCUAAGUUGAGCAAAAAAAAUAAAGUUUUCUACAAAAUAAUGAUAAAAAAUAAUUGAAACGGUCAUUUCAAAAACGACAUGAGUAAUAAAAUUUAAAUUUCCAUGUAUCAAAAAAAACUUAAUUACUCUAGAAAUCCAACUUGUUUUGCACUUCCACUUAUUUACUAAUUUAUUUUUAAGGUUUCUGGUAUUUAUAAUUCAUAGUUUUAAAUAGUCUAACUUUGACCAAAUUCAUUAAAUUGAAAUAAAACAUGUUUGAUUUGCAUUGUUUUUGCAGUGAAUAGAAAUUUAUAAUAUGAAAUCUAAAUAAAAAAAUAAAAUAAAAUAAUAUAUUUUUUUUCCUAAAAAUUUAACUUAUCUUAACUUGGUAUGGGUAACAACUUUUUUCAAAAUAAAAAUUUUGUUGUUUUUGCUUAAUAAACCAUUGCACUUUUAAUAAAACAUUUAAAAAAAAAUAAAAUAUUUCUCUUUAAUAACAAAAACUUAACUUGACAAAAUGUUAUAAUACAGAAACAUUUUUGAAUGAAGUCAUUGACUUUUGUAGUAAAUAUGAAUCUGACAAAUGAAAUUUUUACCCAAAUACAUAAGUAUACAUAAUAAUGUAUAAUUAUCAAAUU